GUUAUAUUUUGUGUUGUCUUGCCAUCAUGUAUUACUAUUAAUUACCAUUUAAAUUUAUAUUUAUGAGCAAAAUAUUUUAAUUUUUUGAAUUUUAAAUGCAUAUUUUGUUCUGUGGGAGUGGCCAAAUUGAGUUUCCACUUCUGACAUCAAUGUAAUUUGUAGAAUUUGCAAGCUUCACUUAACUGGAAUUAACUGACAAAAUUUGAGGAUACCAUGAUAAAGUAAUGAUCAGAAGUUCUGAGUGAAGGGAUUAACAAUACAACUAAAAUGAAACUAAACUGUUUAUUUUAAAAAGAUGAAUACAACACAUUUACAGCAGCAUGCUUUAGAAUUUGAUGUAAGUGAGAAUUUAGACAAUUAUUCAAAAAGAGGACUACUUGAUAAGUCUGAAAACAUACUUAUAAAGAGAGUUUAUAUGGCCUUUAAUAUAUUUAAACAUAAUUUGCUCUUGAGACCAUACCACAUUUUGAGACAGACUCUUCCUAAAACUACAUUGUUUUCAACUUAGUCAUUCACCCACUUCACUAGCUUGGAUUCUAAUAGCAGUAUGGAUUGAUAGUAAAUUCUUUUCACUCACAGCCAACCAUUAAUUAAC
rnacentral:lncRNA from 1 species